AAAAACUAUAUAUGGCGCAAGUGUCUCUGGAGAGUUCUUGAGGCUUAGGGUGUGAUCUAUCUCCAGCAGGCACCUCUGCUCUUCAAUCCUUUCACUCCACGAAACCAAAACCAGAAUGCUUUGUGCCGUAUACAAUUUCAAAAAUUUGUAGCCGAAAUCCAACUUGCCAUAGAAAAAGUAUAUCAUAUAAUUAUAUAUUAUUAUUAUUAUUAAUUACUAUAAAUAAACAGUACACCGUACGUAGUAAUAUUGUGUUGUUGGUUUGGUUUCGUGUGAUUCCCAUCCCAUUUUUCUUUUUCUUCUUAAAAAUAUAUGAUAUGUACGGAAGCUGUGUUAGAUUAUCCAUAAAGUGAUUCAAUUUGUCGACAAGAAAACCUUAGUUUCAUAUCUGAUUGGUUCUCAGAGAAUUUCAUAGUUGUCUUGGGAAAAUGGCUGGUGAAGGAGAUAAAAAGAACGACUUCUAUGCGGUUCUGGGAUUGAACAAAGAGUGCACUGAUUCAGAGCUAAGGAAUGCAUAUAAGAAACUAGCACUGAAAUGGCACCCUGAUCGUUGUUCAGCGACGGGGAAUUCAAAGUUCGUGGAAGAAGCUAAGAAGAAAUUCCAAGCAAUCCAGCAAGCCUAUUCUGUUUUAUCUGACGCCAACAAAAGGCUAAUGUACGACGUGGGAGUCUACGACAGUGAUGACGACGAAAACGGCAUGGGGGACUUCUUGAAUGAAAUGGUAACAAUGAUGAGUCAAACAAACUCAAAUGAAAAUGGAGAAGAGAGCUUUGAGGAGCUGCAACAGCUGUUUGAAGAUAUGUUUCAAGAUGAUAUUGGAUCAGAUAGAAGCACCACUUUUACUACUGCCGGUUGCUCCUCUUCGUCCGCGUGCAUGGCUUAUAGUGGAAACUCCAACUCGAAUAAGCGCAAUUCGGCUGAGAUGAACUUUUUGAAGGCAGAUAAUUCCUUUGACUUUGAUACCAGUUACCAGAACUUCUGCUUAGGGGCUGGUCUUGUUAAUUAUCAUUACUACCAAUGAAUGAGGAUACAAAAACAAUGGCGUUAUUUUUGUGAGGUAUGUGUGGGACUGACAGGGGAAGCACCUCCGAGAUAUAAAGAGGGAAAAGCUAAAAAUAAUUCGCGACGGAGGAGGUAGCGGUGGUGGACGACUGCGGCACCGAGCAAUGGACAUGGUGUGCACCAACCUUAGCAUACCAUAAUGUUAUUAAGAUGGUUGCAGAAUUGUAAUUACAUUGAAUGAUAGUUGCAACUAUGAAUGGGAGAAACAAAAGGAAAGGAAAUUGAGAUUGGGAUUGAGAGUGAAAGGAUCGUGGCCAACACUUAACCAUUAAAAGGAAAGUGAGUGAUCUUUUAGCAUUGGAUGUAAUUUCACACCAAUUAAAAAUAUUAUUGAUGUAAUUUCACUACUAUAGCCUCCAGCUAUAACUUUGCAAAAAGCAAGGUUGUGGCACCAUCAAGAUCUUUUGUAUGAAGAGUGAGGCUAGGAGUUUUUUAGGUUGAAAUUGAUAACACUAUAAUUUGAGAAGGUAAGUUUGGUUUGUA